UCCAUGGUGGUCCAGCGGCUAAGACUCUGUACUACCAAUGCAGAGGAUCUAGGUUCAAUCCCUGGUCAGGGAA